rnacentral:rRNA from 1 species
GAUGAACGCUGGCGGCGUGCCUAAUACAUGCAAGUCGGGCGAACGGACGAGAAGCUUGCUUCUCUGAUGUUAGCGGCGGACGGGUGAGUAACACGUGGAUAACCUACCUAUAAGACUGGGAUAACUUCGGGAAACCGGAGCUAAUACCGGAUAAUAUUUUGAACCGCAUGGUUCAAAAGUGAAAGACGGUCUUGCUGUCACUUAUAGAUGGAUCCGCGCUGCAUUAGCUAGUUGGUAAGGUAACGGCUUACCAAGGCAACGAUGCAUAGCCGACCUGAGAGGGUGAGCGGCAACAGUGGAACUGAGACAGGUCCGGCACCCUGACGGGAGGAACCGGAGGGGAAUCUUCGCGAAGGGGCAAAGGCCGGACGAAGCAACCCGGCGGGGAGAAUAAAGGUUUUCGGACCUUAAAACUUUUUUAUUGGGAAAAAACAGUUGUUAAAUUACCUGUGCACUUCUGGAGGGUACCUAAUCAAAAGACCCGGGCUAACCACGUG